AUUGAACGCUGGCGGCAGGCCUAACACAUGCAAGUCGAGCGGAUGAAGGCUGCUUUCUCCUGGUUUCAGCUUCGGACGGGUGUGUAAUGCCUAGGAAUCUGCCUGCUUGUGCGUGAUAACGUCCUGAUACGGGCGCUUAUACCGCAUACGUCCUGCUCGUGAAAGUUUGGGUUCUUCGGACCUCUCGCUAUCUUAUGUGCCUAGGUGGGAUUUGCUAGUUGGUUGGGUAAAGGCCUACCAUGGCGACGAUCCGUAACUGGUCUGAGAGGAUGAUCAGUCACACUGGAAGUGAGACACGGACCAGAGGCCGAAGGGAGGAAGCAGUGGGGAAGAGGGGACAAUGGGGGAAAGCAUGAUACAGCAAAGCGGCGUGUGAGAAGAAGGUGUUCGGAUUGUAAAGAACUUUAAGUUGGGAGGAAGGGCAGUAAGUUAAUACCUAGCGGGAUUGACGUUAACAACAGAAGAAGCACCGGCUAACUACGUG
rnacentral:rRNA from 1 species